GGAAUUGUGCCCGAAUGCUUAAGGGCCACUUUGAUAGAGUGAACUAUGAGGGUUCAAGUCCCUCCGAUUCCU
rnacentral:tRNA from 1 species